rnacentral:lncRNA from 1 species
CUCCACCAUAGACUGUAUCUAGAAUAGACGCCGUCUGCCUCCUCCACUCCGAGAACAGCGCCCUCUGGUGACGGGCUGCAGUAUAGGUCCUAAACCCCGCCUCCUUAUGGAGCUGUGGACAAACUUUAUAAAUGAAUGACACAGAAUAUAAAUGUUUCUCCCCCCUGGUUGUGAUGUUGACAUGUAGUUACUGUCAGACUGGUUUGUGCUCAAGUCCUCUUUUUCCUGUACAGCUCCAUUUUUAAAAGUUAUUAGGGGGUUCAUGUUUUCUGUGAUUGACACCUGAUACAGCCAAUGGGAGGACAGGGAUUGAGUAGAUCA